UACGGAGGGUGCGAGCGUUGUCCGGAAUUAUUGGGCGUAAAGAGCUCGUAGGCGGUUUGUUGCGUCGGCUGCGAAAUCCUGAGGCUCAACCUCGGGUCUGCAGUCGAUACGAGCAAACUAGAGUGUUGCAGGGGAGACUGGAAUUCCUGGUGUAGCGGUGAAAUGCGCAGAUAUCAGGAGGAACACCGGUGGCGAAGGCGGGUCUCUGGGCAACAACUGACGCUGAGGAGCGAAAGCGUGGGGAGCGAACAGG
rnacentral:rRNA from 1 species